GACGUAGGGCGCGAGCGUUGUCCGGAUUUAUUGGGCGUAAAGAGCUCGUAGGCGGUUCGGCAAGUCGGAUGUGAAAUCUCCACGCUUAACGUGGAGGGGCCAUUCGAAACUGUUGUGACUCGAGUCCGGUAGGGGAGUGUGGAAUUCCCGGUGUAGCGGUGAAAUGCGCAGAUAUUGGGAAGAACACCGAUGGCGAAGGCAGCCAUCUGGACCGACACUGACGCUGAGGCGCGAAAGCGUGGGGAGCAAACAGG
rnacentral:rRNA from 1 species